ensembl:snRNA LOC120093496 U4 spliceosomal RNA
AGCUUUGCGCAGUGGCAGUAUUGUAGCCAAUGAGGUUUAUCUGAGGCGCGAUUAUUGCUAAUUGAAAACUUUUCUCAAACAAUAUC